AACGAACGCUGGCGGCAGGCUUAACACAUGCAAGUCGAACGCAUCGCAAGAUGAGUGGCAGACGGGUGAGUAACGCGUGGGAACAUACCCUUUUCUACGGAAUAGCUCUGGGAAACUGGAAUUAAUACCGUAUACGCCCUACGGGGGAAAGAUUUAUCGGGGAAGGAUUGGCCCGCGUUGGAUUAGCUAGUUGGUGGGGUAAAGGCCUACCAAGGCGACGAUCCAUAGCUGGUCUGAGAGGAUGAUCAGCCACAUUGGGACUGAGACACGGCCCAAACUCCUACGGGAGGCAGCAGUGGGGAAUAUUGGACAAUGGGCGCAAGCCUGAUCCAGCCAUGCCGCGUGAGUGAUGAAGGCCUUAGGAUUGUAAAAUUCUUUCACCGGGGACGAUAAUGACGGUACCCGGAGAAGAAGCCCCGGCUAACUUCGUGCCAGCCGCCGCGGUAA
rnacentral:rRNA from 1 species